GGGGCUCUUCCGGCUCUCGACCUUGUAUGUGGCGCCUCUCCGAACUCCCUCGGCUGUCCGGACUUCUCCGACAAUGGACUUCUACGUUCACCCACCGGGCCACCCCAAAGGCCCUCUGGGCCUCACUGAUGGUCGACCUCUUACAGCAGCCAACCAUUCCUCGAGUCUCUCCUGGACUUCUUCUGGCCACGGACGACCCUACUCCAACUCCUUUCGGGCUUCGUCAGCAUCUGAGCUUCCCCGACAAUGAGAUUUCUACAGUAACCAGACUCCUUCCAAGUUUCUACGGUGGUCGACCGCCUUCU
rnacentral:lncRNA from 1 species